UGGGGAAUAUUGCACAAUGGGCGCAAGCCUGAUGCAGCCAUGCCGCGUGUAUGAAGAAGGCCUUCGGGUUGUAAAGUACUUUCAGUCGGGAGGAAGGUGGUAAGGUUAAUAACCUUAUCAAUUGACGUUACCGACAGAAGAAGCACCGGCUAACUCCGUGCCAGCAGCCGCGGUAAUACGGAGGGUGCAAGCGUUAAUCGGAAUUACUGGGCGUAAAGCGCACGCAGGCGGUUGAUUGAGUCAGAUGUGAAAUCCCCGGGCUUAACCCGGGAAUUGCAUCUGAUACUGGUCAGCUAGAGUCUUGUAGAGGGGGGUAGGAUUCCAUGUGUAGCGGGGAAAUGCGUAGAGAAGUGGAAGAAUACCGGGGGCGAAGGCGGCCCCCUGGACAAAGACUGACGCUCAGGUGCGAAAGGGUGGGGAGCAAACAGG
rnacentral:rRNA from 1 species